rnacentral:rRNA from 1 species
GCCAGACUCCUACGGGAGGCAGCAGUGGGGGAUAUUGCACAAUGGGGGGAACCCUGAUGCAGCGACGCCGCGUGGGUGAAGGAGCGUUUCGGCGCGUAAAGCCCUAUCGGCAGGGAAGAAGGAGGACGGUACCUGACUAAGAAGCCCCGGCUAACUACGUGCCAGCAGCCGCGGUAAUACGUAGGGGGCAAGCGUUAUCCGGAUUUACUGGGUGUAAAGGGGGCGCAGACGGCGAUGCAAGCCAGGAGUGAAAGCCCGGGGCCCAACCCCGGGACUGCUCUUGGAACUGCGUGGCUGGAGUGCAGGAGGGGCAGGCGGAAUUCCUGGUGUAGCGGUGAAAUGCGUAGAUAUCAGGAGGAACACCGGUGGCGAAGGCGGCCUGCUGGACGGCAACUGACGUUGAGGCCCGAAAGCGUGGGGAGCAAACAGGAUUAGAUACCCCGGUACAA